ACUCCGUAGGUGAACCUGCGGAGGGAUCAUUACAGAGUUCUCGCCCUCACGGGUAGAUCUCCCACCCACUGUUAUCGUUACUGUCGUUUCUUUGGCGGGCCGCCGGGUCCCCGGCCGCCGGCGCCUAGCUGCCGGCGCGCGCCCGCCAGAGGCCUUCAAACUCUGAAUGUUAGUGUCGUCUGAGUACUAUAUAAUAGUUAAAACUUUCAACAACGGAUCUCUUGGUUCUG
rnacentral:misc_RNA from 1 species